CCUACGGGAGUCAGCAGUAGGGAAUCUUUCACAAUGGGCGAAAGCCUGAUGGAGCAACGCCGCGUGCAGGAUGAAGACCUUCGGGUUGUAAACUGCUUUUAUAAGCGAGAAAUAUGAUGGUAACUUAUGAAUAAGGAUCGGCUAACUACGUGCCAGCAGCCGCGGUCAUACGUAGGAUCCGAGCAUUAUCCGGAGUGACUGGGUGUAAAGAGUUGCGUAGGUGGCAUAAUAAGUAGCUAGUGAAAUCUGGUGGCUCAACCAUUCAGACUAUUAGCUAAACUGUUAAGCUCGAGACCGUUAGGGGUAACUGGAAUUUCUAGUGUAGGAGUGAAAUCCGUAGAUAUUAGAAGGAACACCAAUAGCGUAGGCAGGUUGCUGGGACGGUUCUGACACUAAGGCACGAAAGCGUAGGGAGCAAACGGGAUUAGAUACCCGUGUAGUC
rnacentral:rRNA from 1 species